rnacentral:lncRNA from 1 species
GGAGAAUUCCAAUCAUCUCACUUAACAUAGAUGGCUUUGAUUCCUGCAUAUUCUUUUUUUUUGAUUUAAGGUGUUAAUUUUGUAGACUAGAUUUAUUGUGUGAACUGACAAUGGUAUUAACAGAUAUGAUUUCUGAUUUUUCAGGAAGCUGUAGAUUAUCGAAGACAAGGAGCAUCUUCUAGCCAGCCAGGAGAACUUAGAGGAAGAAAAAUUAUGAAACAUUUAGUAGAUAUCAGAGAACUAAAUGAACAGGCCAAAGUAAUAGAUGAUCUUAAAAAAUUAGGUGCAAGUGAAGGAACUAUAAACCAGGAAAUUCAACGUUACCAACAGUUAGAAUCUGUGGCUGUGAAUGACAUUUGAAGAGAUGUUCAUAAAAAAUUACGGAGAUCCAGUAUGCAAGCUGCUUCCUAAAGGAUAAGUGGGGUUUGGGUUACAAACCAAGUUAUAGUCGAUCUAAAAGCAUUUCUGCCUCUGGAAGACUUCCUCUUAAGCGAAUGGAAAGAGCAAGGUAAUAUAUAUUUCAGCUGAUGAAAAAAGAAAUAAAAUUGCUGACUCCUUUAGCAAUAUUCACUACUUUUUUUUAUUACACUCUAAUUGGGGAAAUUAUAAAACCAAAUAAAAAUAGACCUUAUUACUAAAAUAGCAAUCAUGCUGAUUAUUGUGAAACUUCAUUUAUUUGAGAAUUUUCG